GAACGCACCUUGCGCUCCUUGGUAUUCCGAGGAGCAUGCCUGUUUGAGUGUCAUUAAUAUAUCAACCUCUUCAACUUUUGUUUGUCGGGUGUUGGAUUUGGGGGUCUUUUUUGCUGGUCUUGUAUCUACAGGUCAGCUCCCCUGAAAUGCAUUAGCAGAACAAUUUGUGAACCGUUCAUUGGUGUGAUAACUAUCUACGCUAUUGACGUGAAACAAGUUCAGCUUCUAACAGUCCAUUGACUUGGACAACUUUUCAUUAAUGUGACCUCAAAUCAGGUAGGACUACCCGCUGAACUUAAG
rnacentral:misc_RNA from 1 species